UACGUAGGUGACAAGCGUUGUCCGGAUUUACUGGGCGUAAAGAGCGCGCAGGCGGUCGAUCAAGUCGAGUGUGAAAGCCCCCGGCUCAACUGGGGAGGGUCAUUCGAUACUGAUCGACUCGAAGGCAGGAGAGGGUAGUGGAAUUCCCGGUGUAGUGGUGAAAUGCGCAGAUAUCAGGAGGAACACCGGUGGCGAAGGCGGAUCUCUGGGCCGAUACUGACGCUGAGGAGCGAAAGCGUGGGGAGCGAACAGG
rnacentral:rRNA from 1 species